AUCCCAGCUCCACCAGAGAGACUCCGCGACUUUGGACAACCGGUCUCGGGGCCUCAGUUUCCCCUCUAGGGUGAGGCACCCAGGAGGCGGAGGAAAAGGUUGCGGUUCCUUUACUAGCCCGACCCCUCGGGCGGUCCACGGCUGCCCUGCAUGGAGCUGACGCUCAACGAGGGUUGUUGAAUGAAUGUGUGUAAGGAGCCCUGAGAAGCCACAAAUCUUGGACACCUGGAUGGAGGAUCCGUCUUUCCUGGCCCCAGCGUCUUAGAGAGGUACCUGCACAGCAAUGGAUAUUUCCAGUUGUUCUCCAUUCUCGUCAACACUUGGUAUGGUCAGUCAUUUUAAUUUUAGACAUCUAACAGGGGCCCCGGCUGAGUCUGGAACUGAAGGAACAUUUUACAAUCAAUCAAUCAGUCACCUUCCUUCGGCAGUAAGUGGACGCGAAGAAGCACGUGGGAACUGUCUGCUUCCUCGAGGAGGCUGUCUGCCCGGUCCCUGCAUGCCCUGUGUGAGUGUGCCAGGCCGGGCGCUCCGGCCGCUAUGGAGCAGUGUCUGCAGCUGCGCGCUGGGGCGACCACGUGGUCAAGGUGGCCACGGCACGGCUGCCGCUUGCGCAGGAAGUGCUGAGUCCUUGGCCCCGCACACCCCCCUGCACGAGGAGGCCCCAGGGAGUUGCAUGGGGACUGCGGGAGCGAGGGAAGCAGCACGACUCUGCCGGUGCGCCUGCUGUGGCUGUGCGAGCAGGUCUGCCUCUGAUCAGCACACCUCUCCCUCCACUGUCAGUCAGCACCCAUGCGGCGGCGUCACGUUCACCCCCUGCAUCCUCUUGUGAGGCCGGGGUUCUUUCUUGAAAGUGAGUUGAGUUUUAAGCUUUAAAUAGGCAGCGAGCCCAGGAGGAGCAUUCAGGGUAAGGUCUGACGAGGCUGUCGUUUCUCGGCGCCCACCGGAGGCCAGAUGCUUUCACAAGCAGGAGCUCUACCUCUUUCCAUCUCUGGAAUAGGUGCGGCUCCUCCUAUUUCAUCAAAGCAACAAGGCAGGCUCAGAGGAGAGGGACGCACGGUUACCAGGCGGGAAUCAGUACAUGGCGGGGCCGGGAGGGCCUCAGUCUGUCCCUUCCGAAGUGCAUCUGCUCAAAACAUGAGCAGAGUUGCUUGCGUGAGCCUGCCUGCUGGAGCAGAGGGUGCUGGGCAGUCUGGAAGGCCAUCCGGGCAGGAGAGGGUCAGUUUGAUGCUGGCCUGACAAAUGGUGGCUUUAGAAAAGGGACCUGUAUAAAAUACGUGCCCUGGUCACACAUACACACAUCUAUCCCUAACACAACCCGCCUCUGGCCCCCAGGAGAAGUUAAAGACAAACCAACACUGAAAUUCUGAGUAAAUAGGAACUGCAGGUUAUAUGGCUGCUGAAAACCGCUGGGAGUCUCCAAAGUGAAUGAUAUUUUGAUUUUAAAUAGCAUUUAAAAGGCAAGCAAGGCUCCUAGUCAUGAAACUUGUCUCUCUCUUGAGGCAAGUCCAUCUUAGACCAGGGCUUCAAGCUGAAGAGGACCCACCACAUCAGAGCUGCGGCCUCCUUACCUCUGGA